rnacentral:lncRNA from 1 species
UUGGGUCCAGUCUUGGGUGAUAAAGGUAAAACUAAAGGACAAUCAAACCUCAUCAAACUUCUCUUCUGAGGAGCUGAUGACAUUUCAGAAACAGUGACAAAGUUCAGAAUCCCACUCUUCCAUCCUAGAUGGGAAACAUCAACUUUCCUGAUGAUGCUGAAAAAGCAAGAUACUCAUUUUUUCCAGCCACCCUUGCAGAGCCAGAAAGCCCAUGAGAUUCAAUAGAUGUAAGAUUGAGAAAGAUUUUCAUUCCUGGAUGAAAAGAGACAGGCGUGGGAGAAGAGUUUUCUCUUGCCAUCUUUGCAGUCUCUCAACUUCUGACGUGUACACGGUCAAGAAAGGCCAUGUGAAAACAUGGCGAGAAGACAUUCGUCUGCAACCCAAGGAGAGAGACUUCACCAGACACCGACCCUGCUGGCACCUUGAUCUUGGACUUCCAGUGUUCAGAACUAUGAGAAAUAAAUUCCUGUUAUGUAAGGUGCCCAGUCCGUGGUAUUUUGUUGUAACAGCCUGAGCUGAUGAAGAUGGAUUUUCCUUUCAAGAUCAGGUCUUGGACCUCAGAGUCAGCCUCACUAUGGAAAGCAAUGGCUAGUCUCAGCUUCCCACAGAAGACUUGGUUUAAUUGGAGGCAAGUUUUGUCUUGCUUAUUGAGGUUAUAGAAAGCAUAACAAAAUUCACAUUUUAUAAAGUGACUACCAUAUGAUCACUCUGAAUUUUAUUUUACCUGUCAUUUCUCGGUAUCAAUAGGUUUUACUUCCCCUUGUUCUGGAUUUCAGUGAUUGACGAUUGAAUACAAUAAAUAUUUAUCGAGCACC